rnacentral:rRNA from 1 species
UGGAGCUUGCGGUUUAAUUUGGAUUCAACGCCGGAAAUCUUACCGGGACCGACAGCAAUAUGAAGGCCAGGCUGAAGACUUUGCCGGAUUAGCUGAGAGGUGGUGCAUGGCCGUCGUCAGUUCGUACUGUGAAGCAUCCUGUUAAGUCAGGCAACGAGCGAGACCCACGCCCACAGUUGCCAGCGUACUCUCUGGAGUGACGGGUACACUGUGGGACCGCCGCUGCUAAAGCGGAGGAAGGAAUGGGCAACGGUAGGUCAGUAUGCCCCGAAUAUCCCGGGCUACACGCGAGCUACAAUGGUUGGUACAAUGGGUAUCUACCCCGAAAGGGGACGGGAAUCUCCUAAAACCAAUCUUAGUUCGGAUUGAGGGCUGCAACUCGCCCUCAUGAAGCUGGAAUCCGUAGUAAUCGCGUUUCAACAGAACGCGGUGAAUACGUCCCUGCUCCUU